rnacentral:lncRNA from 1 species
UUACCCUGCAACUUUUUUCAAACUUUUGAAUCAAGAUCAUCCGGUCCAACUUUCUUAAAGUAAAAUAAAAAUGAACAGGAGUUUCAAGGAAACUGAUUGGGGAGUCCUAUAGAUGACAAUUCAUCCAUCUAGCACAAAUAACAUCCCAAUAUCGAUCAUCUUCCAAAUAAAUUAUAAAUCUUAGAAAACAAUAUCUAUUCAAAUAAUAACUAAAGCAAUGCACUGAAGGCUUACUGUACCACCAUGUACCUGAGAAUGGCGCCAUCCCUUAAUUAAAUGCUCCUUGGAAGCUUUCCUUGUCAUCCUACCCAGCACAUCCACUACAAAAAUAUUAAUACGGAGAUAGACCCAUCUGACCGUAAAUCCAUCAACUCGUAACUGAAAUUGAAAUCAAAAUUAAAAUAAUUAAUUUUUUUUAAAUAUUUGAUUUACGAUAGAAAUUGAAACAGAUAUUUUUCGUUGUUGUUAUUUGAUUCAUAUAAAAAUAAAGAUCUGAAUCGAUUUAAAAUUUUAUUUUUAUUUUUAAUUAAAAAUUUUUAAAAUUAAUUAUUUUUAUUUUUUCUCUUUUAUAUUUUUUUCCCUCCUCCUUCCGUCUUCCUUUUCUCCGCCGUCCACCCCAUUGGGAUCGGUGGUAUUUCUCCCUUCCCCCCUUCUCCCACACUCCAAGAACAAGAGCUACGAAUUUAAAACAGCGUUGGAAAACGAAUUUUUUUUCUUUAAUCUCUAUAAAUUGCCCCAUCGCUCUCCCCCUUUCUCUCCUGUUCUACGGCUCUUUUUCUAACACGAUCGCUCGAUCGAUUUCAACGCCAUAGAUUGUAGGACUCAUGCCUGCCUAGGGUUCCGUCGGUGGAAGGAUCGGAUAUGAUGGAUUUCCGGCAGAAGCGGGAGGACGCCGAUCGGGAGUUCCGACAGGGCCUGGAGGAGUUGGUCCGCGGCCACAUCGACGGUUGCAUGACCGCCCUCGCCUCCUGCAGCUCCGCCGCUGACGACGACGAUGACCACUCUGCCGCCGGAGAUGGCGGUGAAGCCCCCGACCUCCUCGCACGCAGGCGGCGGCGGUCGGACCUCGAGGGCGACAACCUCGCGGAAUCCUCCGCCGCUGCUCGACGUCACUCCCGGAUCCUGAGCCGGUGGGUGGCGCGGCAGGCCGAGGAGAUGAUCACCACCAUCGAGCGCCAGAACCGCGAGAACGAGGGCCGGGAUUCGAGCAGGGAGCAGUCCCCUGAUCUCGGGGACGGUGAUAGGUGUUUUCUUUUUCUUAAUUUUAUCUCCUCAUCUCGGUGGAAUGAGAUUUUGAUUCCACCGGGAUGGUCCAGAUUCA